AUUUCUGAACCUUGGGCCCCACGAUGCGUGGGUACAGACCUGAAGUUGGCUCCUUCCUAAGGCAUAUUGGGAACUGUGUGUUCUACGUUUUCACACGCCAAAGCUAUAUAUUAUAUCUGGGGAAAACCUGAGCAAGUUUAUUGGUGCAACGGUGCAUGAAUGAAAUAAGAUUUUCGUCAGCAGAUACCAAAAGCAAAUCCGCAAAAUCGAAUUUUUUCGCAAUUUCGUUUACGAUGGAAAGCGUUGCUGAGUUAAUGAGCCUUGAUUGUGCAAUCGUUGAUCGACCGGGCGUAUUCGUAAAGAUUCGCUGCACCAGCGAAAUCUGAGAAUUGUCAGCGACGAAGGCUGCGGAAAGAAACGCUUCUCUGCUGUCUCGCCAACGAAUGCGACAGCGACUGGACCUUCCCCGAGCUAUUC